ACGGGGGGUGCAAGCGUUAAUCGGAUUUACUGGGCGUAAAGAGUUCGUAGGCGGCUGUUUAAGUUGGAUGUGAAAGCCCUGGGCUUAACCUGGGAACUGCAUACAAAACUGGGCAGCUAGAGUAAGGGAGAGGAGAGUGGAAUUUCCGGUGUAGCGGUGAAAUGCAUAGAUAUCGGAAGGAACACCAGUGGCGAAGGCGACUCUCUGGCCUAUUACUGACGCUGAGGAACGAAAGCGUGGGGAGCAAACAGG
rnacentral:rRNA from 1 species